UACGUAGGUGGCAAGCAUUAUCCGGAUUUAUUGGGUGUAAAGGGCGUGUAGGCGGGAGCGCAAGUCAGAUGUGAAAACUCAGGGCUCAACCCUGAGCCUGCAUUUGAAACUGUGUUUCUUGAGUGCUGGAGAGGCAAUCGGAAUUCCGUGUGUAGCGGUGAAAUGCGUAGAUAUACGGAGGAACACCAGUGGCGAAGGCGGAUUGCUGGACAGUAACUGACGCUGAGGCGCGAAAGCGUGGGGAGCAAACAGG
rnacentral:rRNA from 1 species